rnacentral:rRNA from 1 species
UACAGAGGGUGCGAGCGUUAAUCGGAAUUACUGGGCGUAAAGCGUGCGCAGGCGGUUUUGUAAGACAGGCGUGAAAUCCCCGAGCUUAACUUGGGAAUGGCGCUUGUGACUGCAAGGCUAGAGUAUGUCAGAGGGGGGUAGAAUUCCACGUGUAGCAGUGAAAUGCGUAGAGAUGUGGAGGAAUACCGAUGGCGAAGGCAGCCCCCUGGGACGUCACUGACGCUCAUGCACGAAAGCGUGGGGAGCAAAC